UGUUCUGUGGCUUAUUUGGUAAAGUAAAGCUGUAGUGCCGGUCUAGCGAAUACGGAGACGUGGGAUCGAAUCCCACCAGAACGC
rnacentral:tRNA from 1 species